rnacentral:rRNA from 1 species
UACGGAGGGGGCGAGCGUUAUUCGGAAUUAUUGGGCGUAAAGGGCGCGUAGGCGGCUGUACAAGUCAAAGGUGAAAUCCCUCGGCUCAACUGAGGAACUGCCUUUGAAACUGUACGGCUUGAGGCCGGGAGGGGGUAGCGGAAUUCCAGGUGUAGCGGUGAAAUGCGUAGAUAUCUGGAGGAACACCGGUGGCGAAGGCGGCGUCCUGGACCAGCACUGACACUGAUGAGCGAAAGCCAGGGGAGCAAACGGG